UACGGUAGGGGGCUAGCGUUGUCCGGAUUUAUUGGGGCGUAAAAGAGCGUGUAGGCGGCCCAGGUAGGUCUGGUGUGAAAACUCCGGAGGCUCAACCUCGAGAGGUCAUCGGAAACCAUUUGGCUAGAGUCCGGAAGAGGAGACUGGAAUUCCUGUGUAGCGGUGAAAUGCGCAGAUAUCAGGAGGAACACCGGUGGCGAAGGCGGGUCUCUGGGCCGAUACUGACGCUGAGGAGCGAAAGCGUGGGGAGCGAACAGG
rnacentral:rRNA from 1 species